rnacentral:tRNA from 1 species
UCCCUGGUGGUCUAGUGGCUAAGACUCUGCACUUUCAAAGCAAGGGCCCUGGGUUCAAUACCUGGUCAGAGAA